ensembl:lncRNA
GUGGAAUUUUCUUCCAAACCGUCUUUUAGUCUACAUUUAAGGAUGUUUAGGAUGGUAUAUUCUUCCGAACCAACUUCUCAGGUCUACAUUUCAGGUGGAAUAUUCCUCCAUACUAACUUUUUUGGUCUACAUUGAAGGAUUUUUUCUAAACCACCCUUUCGGGUCUAUAUUUGAGGUUUUAGGUGGAAUAUUCCUUUUAACCAGCCCCUCAGGUCUCUUUGAGGAUUUUGGAUGGAAUACUCGGUUAAACCAACAUUUUAGGUGCAUGUCCAAAGAUUUUUGGUGGAAUGUUCCUUUAAGGUGGAUGUUUGAGGACCUUGUAGGUGGAAUACUUCCUGAAACCAACCUUUUAGGUAAACAUUCAAAGAUUUAAGGCGGAAUAUUCCUUUAAACCAACCUAAAUUUCAUGUUUUGAUCAUUAUCAAGUGAGAAACCUCAAUCCAGACUCCUCGUAAUGACGUUUGAGAUUUAUGCUG